AAAAUAGUGACCCCAAAAUUUUGAUUGGUAGUAUAUAUUUAUAUUAAUAAAUUUUGGUUUGCAUUUAUUUUUUAGCUAACAAUGGCAUUUAAAUUUAAGAAUACAAAUUAUUUAUUUUUCAUUUUUAAUGAUAAAAAUAAAUGGCUACAUUGGAUUUUAAUUAUAAAAAGUAAGUGUUUAUGUCAAAACUCCUGAAAAACACUGUAAUUAAUCAUUUAACAAGGACAAUUCUUUAAUUCCUUAUGUUCCCUGCAAUUUUGAACAUUUUGUUAGAUCUUCGAGUUCAACACAAUCACAAUCCAUCCAUACUUCAUUAGUUCACAACUGCACUUCAGUAUUUCAUAAUUAACAUCUGUUCCGUCUGACCCCGCUAUCUGUCCACAGCGUCGCUCAUGUCGAGCUUUCAGGCUAAGAAAGAGAAGAAUAUUGUCUGUUGUCUGGACGCUUGCAGCGGGACUGUCUGUGAUGGAAAUAAAAGCCUCUCAUUUAUAAUGCAGGUAUCGGUGGUGGGCUCAGACGCACUGAAGGAUAUCAUAGAGAGAGUGACAUCGGACAGCCUGGGUCUUCAUGGCCACGCUUGACUGGAUCCUCCAAAGGGCCUCUCCUCUGUCCACUUCACUUUCUGUCCCCUCCGCUGAGGGCCUCAGGGGCCCCGGGGAUCUCCAGGGAAGGGGUGGACGGAUGGACACAGACAUUUGACAGGAGAGGAAUAACUGUGUGGCUGGGUGACAGGCCAUCUAUCCAUGCAGACUCAUGCCGUUUCCUUCAGGACUGCUGCCCCACUAAUAGGAACAUGCCCUGGAACUCAAGCUGGAAAAUACACCUCAUUCCCGCCCGCUUGUUUUUUAGGCCAUCGAGGAUCCUCAGUCAUCAAUAUGAAUCUGAGUCGGAGAGGGUUUUUCCCUUCUUUAUCCGUUACUGUGAGCGCCGGCAGCCUGAUGGAUCUCUGCCAUCACUUCUGAAUGAUGUUUGCCUUUCAUUUCUAUUUCUUCAUCUCUCUUUCUCGGCUCUGUCUCCAUCCUUUUUUUUGCCACUGCUUGGGCUAUUCUGAGCUGCAAAGAAAGACAUCUUUGAAAUCGUCCAUGGAAAUGUGCAGUUUGGGGGUCACUCAGCUGCAGAUGAAAUGACUGAAUUACACAGGCCCGCUGUCAGCCGUGAAUCAGAUCAGCCAGUCAACUCAUAUACAUGAUUUUACAAGUCACUGAAGAAUAUCACACAUAGAGUACAUUAUAUUUUUUUUUUUUUUUUUUUUUUUUUUUUUUUUUGAUAUUGCAUGCAAUAAUAACAAUAAGUUACAUAUUAAUUAAAAGUUUUUAUAAGAGACACCAAAAAUGCAAAAAUGACACCAAAAUAUUUUUGUUUAAGUGUCCAAUAAACAAUAUGGAGGUUUUAUAUUAAAAAUCUAU
ensembl:lncRNA